UACAGAGGUCCCAAGCGUUGUUCGGAUUUACUGGGCGUAAAGGGUGCGUAGGUGGUCGGGUAAGUCUCAUGUGAAAUCCCGCAGCUUAACUGCGGAACGGCAUGGGAUACUAUUCGGCUCGAGGAUUGGAGGGGGACUGGAAUUCCCGGUGUAGCAGUGAAAUGCGUAGAUAUCGGGAGGAACACCAGUGGCGAAGGCGAGUCCCUGGACAAUUCCUGACGCUGAGGCACGAAAGCCAGGGGAGCAAACAGG
rnacentral:rRNA from 1 species